rnacentral:rRNA from 1 species
CAAUAGCGUAUAUUAAAGUUGUUGCGGUAAAAAAGCUCGUAGUUGGAUUUCUACCGAAGAUAGCCGGUCGGGUCUUCGACCUUGUAUCUGGUUUUGUCUUUGGUAUCCUCAUAGGGAACGUUUCUGCGCUUUAUUGCGUGGUGCGGUAUCUAUGACUUUUACUUUGAGGAAAUUAGAGUGUUCACGGCAGGCAAAAGCCUUGAAUAUAUUAGCAUGGAAUAAUAACAUAGGAUCUUCGUCCUAUUUUGUUGGUUUCUAGGGCUAAGAUAAUGAUUAAUAGGGAUAAUUGGGGGCAUCUGUAUCAACGCGUCAGAGGUGGAAUUCUUGGAUUGCGUUGCGACAAACUACUGCGAAAGCAUUUGCCAAGGAUGUUUUCAUUGA